rnacentral:rRNA from 1 species
CGCCUCUUGAACCCUUAUAAGAGGUCCAGCCUGCCCAGUGACUCUGUUCAACGGCCGCGGUAUCCUAACCGUGCGAAGGUAGCGUAAUCACUUGUUCUUUAAAUGUGGACUAGUAUGAAUGGCAUCACGAAGGUUAUACUGUCUCCUUUUUCUAAUCAGUGAAACUAAUCUCCCCGUGAAGAAGCGAGGAUAAAACUAUAAGACGAGAAGACCCUAUGGAGCUUUAAACAUUUAUAACACUUGCUAAAUAAAAUACAAAUUUCAGAAUUAUUUACUCUUUAAGCAACUUGUCUAUAAGUUUUUGGUUGGGGUGACCGCGGAGCAUAAUACAACCUCCAUGUUGAAAGAUCUAUUUCUAAGCUAAGAGCUACACCACUAAGCAUCAACAUAUUGACAUCCAUUGACCCAAUAUAUUUGAACAACGAACCAAGUUACCCUAGGGAUAACAGCGCAAUCCACUUCAAGAGCUCCUAUCGACAAGUGGGUUUACGACCUCGAUGUUGGAUCAGGGUUUCCCAGUGGUGCAGCCGCUACUAAAGGUUCGUUUGUUCAACGAUUAAAACCCUACG